UACGUAGGGUGCAAGCGUUAAUCGGAAUUACUGGGCGUAAAGCGUGCGCAGGCGGUUGUGCAAGACAGAUGUGAAAUCCCCGGGCUCCAACCUGGGAAUGGCAUUUGGGACUGCAAGGCUUGAGUGCGGCAGAGGAGACUGGAAUUCCUGGUGUAGCAGUGAAAUGCGUAGAUAUCAGGAGGAAUACCGAUGGCGAAGGCAGGUCUCUGGGCUGACACUGACGCUCAUGCACGAAAGCGUGGGGAGCGAA
rnacentral:rRNA from 1 species